rnacentral:rRNA from 1 species
AGUGAACGCUGGCGGUAGGCCUAACACAUGCAAGUCGAACGGCAGCACAGUAAGAGCUUGCUCUUACGGGUGGCGAGUGGCGGACGGGUGAGGAAUACAUCGGAAUCUACUUUUUCGUGGGGGAUAACGUAGGGAAACUUACGCUAAUACCGCAUACGACCUACGGGUGAAAGCAGGGGAUCUUCGGACCUUGCGCGAUUGAAUGAGCCGAUGUCGGAUUAGCUAGUUGGCGGGGUAAAGGCCCACCAAGGCGACGAUCCGUAGCUGGUCUGAGAGGAUGAUCAGCCACACUGGAACUGAGACACGGUCCAGACUCCUACGGGAGGCAGCAGUGAGGAAUAUUGGACAAUGGGCUCAAGCCUGAUCCAGCCAUACCGCGUGGGUGAAGAAGGCCUUCGGGUUGUAAAGCCCUUUUGUUGGGAAAGAAAAGCAGCAGGUUAAUACCCCGCUGUUCUGACGGUACCCAAAGAAUAAGCACCGGCUAACUUCGUG